UGUUGCUCACACUCUAGCCGUAAUAAAUGGAAGCAUAGGUUCUUCUUACCAUGUAAAAUACACCACACCUACAACAGCACAACAGAACACAACAUCCACGUAGCUACCGCCAACAUUCCCCACCAAAUAUGAUAAUUGCGUAUCAGGAACCCUCAGUUGCUACCGCUCUUCUCUACUAGGAAUAGGAUCUCACUCUCUACUUGCCGUUUGCUCAUAUGACCACUUGACCACGAUGUAAGAGUGCUAUCACUACACUUCAGCACCGCAAGAUAUUAUUUGAUCGAAGUGCAGAUCAUCAGUUCCCGGUUAACUGCAAAGCAGGCAGAACGCGUGUUAAAGUUCGUGGUUGUUCCCAUAAAUAAAUAGCCUGACCGAUAGAACAAUUCCAAUUGUGCAACAGUAACGAUUGUGUGUGAAGUGGAUAGUCGGUAGUUAUGGCUGCCUUAUGGCAAGCCACCCCGAUCCACGAUUUUUUGCAUGAAGCUCAUAGAGCAAUAAUGGAGUAGAGAAAGUGUUACAAUGAGAUCGGCUUUUCGUUCACGACCAAGUAUGAGGUGGCAGAACGAGUAUAAUCCUGGCGCGAUGUCGGUAUGGCCUACCAGCCCUGGAGUAGCCGGCAUGUCACCGGUGAGCCAACUUCUGUCCAGGCGGAAGUGUCACGCAGGAGUCGUCGCGGGAUACACUCUACACUGACACCCACACACACUAAUCACAUUAGGCAGACGUAGGUUAAGCUGGAAU